rnacentral:rRNA from 1 species
GAUGAACGCUGGCGGCGUGCCUAACACAUGCAAGUCGAACGGAGUCGUUUUGGAAAUCUCUUCGGAGAUGGAAUUCUCGACUUAGUGGCGGACGGGUGAGUAACGCGUGAGCAAUCUGCCUUUAAGAGGGGGAAAACAGUCGGAAACGGCUGCUAAUACCGCAUAAAGCAUUAAAUUCGCAUGUUUUUGAUGCCAAAGGAGCAAUCCGCUUUUAGAUGAGCUCGCGUCUGAUUAGCUAGUUGGCGGGGUAACGGCCCACCAAGGCGACGAUCAGUAGCCGGACUGAGAGGUUGAACGGCCACAUUGGGACUGAGACACGGCCCAGACUCCUACGGGAGGCAGCAGUGGGGAAUAUUGCGCAAUGGGGGAAACCCUGACGCAGCAACGCCGCGUGAUUGAAGAAGGCCUUCGGGUUGUAAAGAUCUUUAAUCAGGGACGAAACAAAUGACGGUACCUGAAGAAUAAGCUCCGGCUAACUACGUG